GACGAACGCUGGCGGCGUGCCUAAUACAUGCAAGUAGAACGCUGAAGGAGGAGCUUGCUCUUCUGGAUGAGUUGCGAACGGGUGAGUAACGCGUAGGUAACCUGCCUGGUAGCGGGGGAUAACUAUUGGAAACGAUAGCUAAUACCGCAUAACAGUAGAUGUUGCAUGACAUUUGCUUAAAAGGUGCAAUUGCAUCACUACCAGAUGGACCUGCGUUGUAUUAGCUGGUUGGUGGGGUAACGGCUCACCAAGGCGACGAUACAUAGCCGACCUGAGAGGGUGAUCGGCCACACUGGGACUGAGACACGGCCCAGACUCCUACGGGAGGCAGCAGUAGGGAAUCUUCGGCAAUGGACGGAAGGCUGACCGAGCAACGCCGCGUGAGUGAAGAAGGUUGUCGGAUCGUAAAGCUCUGUUGUAAGAGAAGAACGAGUGUGAGAGUGGAAAGUUCACACUGUGACGGUAUCUUACCAGAAAGGGACGGCUAACUACGUG
rnacentral:rRNA from 1 species